rnacentral:pre_miRNA from 1 species
GGGGGGAAGUCGGAUCCUGGGCUGUGUCCCUGGUGCUCUGUGCUCCUGGGCCUGUGCUGUUGGAUUCACGCUCCUGGCCACGCAGCCCCCU